rnacentral:rRNA from 1 species
GGAUAACCUGCCCUUGGGUCUGGGAUAACCCCGAGAAACUGGGGAUAAUACCGGAUAACGCAUAUGUGCUGGAAUGCUUUAUGCGUAAAACGGAUUCGUCCGCCCAAGGAUGGGUCUGCGGCCUAUCAGGUAGUAGUGGGUGUAAUGUACCUACUAGCCAACGACGGGUACGGGUUGUGAGAGCAAGAGCCCGGAGAUGGAUUCUGAGACAUGAAUCCAGGCCCUACGGGGCGCAGCAGGCGCGAAAACUUUACAAUGCGGGAAACCGUGAUAAGGGAACACCGAGUGCCAGCAUCAUAUGCUGGCUGUCCAGAUGUGUAAACUACAUCUGUUAGCAAGGGCCGGGCAAGACCGGUGCCAGCCGCCGCGGUAACACCGGCGGCCCGAGUGGUGACCGUUAUUAUUGGGUCUAAAGGGUCCGUAGCCGGUUUGGUCAGUCCUCCGGGAAAUCUGAUAGCUCAACUAUUAGACUUUCGGGGGAUACUGCCAGGCUUGGAACCGGGAGAGGUAAGAGGUACUACAGGGGUAGGAGUGAAAUCUUGUAAUCCCUGUGAGACCACCUGUGGCGAAGGCGUCUUACCAGAACGGGUUCGACGGUGAGGGACGAAAGCUGGGGGCACGAACCGGAUUAGAUACCCGGGUAGUCCCAGCCGUAAACUAUGCUCGCUAGGUGUCAGGCAUGGCGCGACCGUGUCUGGUGCCGCAGGGAAGCCGUGAAGCGAGCCACCUGGGAAGUACGGCCGCAAGGCUGAAACUUAAAGGAAUUGGCGGGGGAGCAC